rnacentral:misc_RNA from 1 species
GGUUUAACAUGAGAGAAUGUUUUUAUGUUAAAAAAUGUGAAGUAGGAUUUUGCUGUACUUUAUGCCAUUUGGAACUUGACUCUAGCUUUGGAGUAACUACCUUUCCGGCUUUCACUGCCCUGAAGACAAGAACUGCAAAGUCCUUGAGAAGUUUGAUGGGGAGCUUGAAAGAAUUAAGAGAUUUCAUGUAGUAGCUGUAUCUUUUUGUGUGAAUUAUCUAGUUGCCACAUCUGAAUGUUAGAAUGCUAAUGUGCUCCAGAUCAUCUGUUCUUAAAACUUUAAUUACUGGUUGAGGAUUAGGAAGUCUUUAAUUAAGUUGUGUCAAUAGCACAUCUAAUCGAAACCCCUGCUUGAUAAGAGCUCAUUUAUUAAGUCUCUUGGUAAAUAAGCCAAAUUUGAGCUAGCCUUGGCUUAGUUACUUUAAGCUUUGUUAUUUGAAAACAGUGAUCAAACCUGAUGUUCAAGCUGGCUUACUAAGUAUGCAAAGCCUGAUAUAAAUUAUCACUGAGCUCAGCUUAUUUGCAGAGCCAUGUGUUAUCAGUGUGCAUUUUCUAUUAGUAAACUAAAGUCAAAACUGAUGCAGACUGUGGUUCUGGCAUUGGGAGA